GAUGAACGCUAGCUACAGGCUUAACACAUGCAAGUCGAGGGGUAACGAGAGGAAAGCUUGCUUUCCUUGUCGACGACCGGCGCACGGGUGAGUAACGCGUAUCCAACCUGCCCCCAACUAGGGAAUAACCUUGCGAAAGUAAGACUAAUACCCUAUAAUUUCCUCAGAUGUCAUCUGACGAGGAAUAAAGAUUUAUCGGUUGUGGAUGGGGAUGCGUCUGAUUAGCUUGUUGGCGGGGUAACGGCCCACCAAGGCAACGAUCCGUAGGGGUUCUGAGAGGAAGGUCCCCCACAUUGGAACUGAGACACGGUCCAAACUCCUACGGGAGGCAGCAGUGAGGAAUAUUGGUCAAUGGGCGGAAGCCUGAACCAGCCAAGUAGCGUGCAGGAUGACGGCCCUAUGGGUUGUAAACUGCUUUUAUACAGGAAUAAAGUUAGCCACGUGUGGUUAUUUGUAGGUACUGUAUGAAUAAGGACCGGCUAAUUCCGAGCCAGCAGCCGCCGUAA
rnacentral:rRNA from 1 species